rnacentral:rRNA from 1 species
AUUGAACGCUGGCGGCAGGCCUAACACAUGCAAGUCGAACGGUAACAGGAAGCAGCUUGCUGCUUUACUGACGAGUGGCGGACGGGUGAGUAAUGUCUGGGAAACUGCCCGAUGGAGGGGGAUAACUACUGGAAACGGUAGCUAAUACCGCAUAACGUCGCAAGACCAAAGAGGGGGACCUUAGGGCCUCUUGCCAUCGGAUGUGCCCAGAUGGGAUUAGCUAGUAGGUGGGGUAACGGCUCACCUAGGCGACGAUCCCUAGCUGGUCUGAGAGGAUGACCAGCCACACUGGAACUGAGACACGGUCCAGACUCCUACGGGAGGCAGCAGUGGGGAAUAUUGCACAAUGGGCGCAAGCCUGAUGCAGCCAUGCCGCGUGUAUGAAGAAGGCCUUCGGGUUGUAAAGUACUUUCAGCGGGGAGGAAGGGAGUAAAGUUAAUACCUUUGCUCAUUGACGUUACCCGCAGAAGAAGCACCGGCUAACUCCGUG